rnacentral:rRNA from 1 species
AGUGGCGGACGGGUGAGUAACGCGUGGGUAACCUGCCUCACACUGGGGGACAACAGUUAGAAAUGACUGCUAAUACCGCAUAAGCGCACAGGACCGCAUGGUCUAGUGUGAAAAACUCCGGUGGUAUGAGAUGGACCCGCGUCUGAUUAGCUAGUUGGUAAGGUAACGGCUUACCAAGGCGACGAUCAGUAGCCGACCUGAGAGGGUGACCGGCCACAUUGGAACUGAGACACGGUCCAAACUCCUACGGGAGGCAGCAUG